GAGUUUGAUCGUGGCUCAGAACGAACGCUAUCGGUAUGCUUAACACAUGCAAGUCGAACGGACUACUUGGGGCUUGCUCCAAUUAGUUAGUGGCAGACGGGUGAGUAACACGUGGGAAUCUACCCAUCAGUACGGAAUAACUUUUAGAAUAAAAGACUAAUACCGUAUAUUCUCUACGGAAGAAAGAUUUAUUCGCUGAUGGAUGAGCCCGCGUCAGAUUAGGUCGUUGGUGAGGUAACGGCUCACCAAGCCGACGAUCUGUAGCUGGUCUGAGAGGAUGAUCAGCCACACUGGGACUGAGACACGGCCCAGACUCCUACGGGAGGCAGCAGUGGGGAAUAUUGGACAAUGGGCGGAAGGCCUGAUCCAGCAAUACCGAGUGAGUGAUGAAGGCCUUAGGGUUGUAAAGACUCUUUUAGUCAAGGAAGAUAAUGACGUUACUUGCAGAAAAAGACCCCGGCCUAACUCCGUGCCAGCAGCCGCGGUAAC
rnacentral:rRNA from 1 species